GGCGGCGUGCCUAAUACAUGCAAGUCGAGCGCAGGAAACAAGUAGAUCCCUUCGGGGUGACGCUUGUGGAAUGAGCGGCGGACGGGUGAGUAACACGUGGGCAACCUACCUUGUAGACUGGGAUAACUCCGGGAAACCGGAGCUAAUACGGGAUGAUCAUUUGAAUCGCAUGAUUGAAAUGUAAAAGUGGGGAGUAAAUCCUCACACUAUGAGAUGGGCCCGCGGCGCAUUAGCUAGUUGGUAAGGUAAUGGCUUACCAAGGCAACGAUGCGUAGCCGACCUGAGAGGGUGAUCGGCCACACUGGAACUGAGACACGGUCCAGACUCCUACGGGAGGCAGCAGUAGGGAAUCAUCCGCAAUGGGCGAAAGCCUGACGGUGCAACGCCGCGUGAACGAUGAAGGUUUUCGGAUCGUAAAGUUCUGUUAUGAGGGAAGAACAAGUGCCGUUCGAAUAGGGCGGCACCUUGACGGUACCUCACGAGAAAGCCCCGGCUAACUACGUG
rnacentral:rRNA from 1 species